AUAUGGUGCUAAAAGCAAACAGUGCUUACCGCAAAUAGGCUAAAUGAAAAGUGUUUAUUUUUAAGAAGUAAACAUCAAGGAUAAGUAUCUAUAAAGACGAUUAUCCUUUUAAAGUUUCUGUUAGCAGACCGGUGCUGGGUGUUGAGUAUGGUGAGAGUGGCGAACGGGCGAGUAACGCGUGAGUAACCUGCCCUAUGCAGGGGGAUAACAUCGGGAAACCGGUGCUAAUACCGCAUAAGAUCACACUGUCGCAUGGCAGAGUGAUAAAAGCUCCGGCGGCAUAGGAUGGACUCGCGUCCAAUUAGCUAGUUGGUAGGGUAAAAGCCUACCAAGGCGACGAUUGGUAUCCGAACUGAGAGGUUGAUCGGACGCAUUGGGACUGAGACACGGCCCAGACUCCUACGGGAGGCAGCAGUGGGGAAUAUUGCGCAAUGGGGGAAACCCUGACGCAGCAACGCCGCGUGAAGGAUGAAGGUUUUCGGAUUGUAAACUUCUUUGAUCGGGGACGAAAAUGACGGUACCCGAGGAACAAGCCACGGCUAACUACGUGCCAGCAGCCGCGGUAAUACGUAGGUGGCAAGCGUUGUCCGGAAUUACUGGGUGUAAAGGGCGUGUAGGCGGGACGGCAAGUCAGAUGUGAAAUACCUCGGCUUAACUGGGGUGCUGCAACUGAAACUGUCGUUCUUGAGUGUCGGAGAGGAAAGUGGAAUUCCCAGUGUAGCGGUGAAAUGCGUAGAGAUUGGGAGGAACACCAGUGGCGAAGGCGGCUUUCUGGACGAUAACUGACGCUGAGGCGCGAAAGCGUGGGUAGCAAACAGGAUUAGAUACCCUGGUAGUCCACGCCGUAAACGAUGGAUACUAGGUGUAGGAGGUAUCGACCCCUUCUGUGCCGGAGUUAACACAAUAAGUAUCCCACCUGGGGAGUACGGCCGCAAGGUUGAAACUCAAAGGAAUUGACGGGGGCCCGCACAAGCAGUGGAGUAUGUGGUUUAAUUCGAAGCAACGCGAAGAACCUUACCAGGGCUUGACAUCCCUCUGACAGGCUUAGAGAUAAGCCCUUUCUUCGGAACAGAGGAGACAGGUGGUGCAUGGUUGUCGUCAGCUCGUGUCGUGAGAUGUUGG
rnacentral:rRNA from 1 species